rnacentral:rRNA from 1 species
UUAAUUGAAGAGUUUGAUCAUGGCUCAGAUUGAACGCUGGCGGCAGGCCUAACACAUGCAAGUCGGACGGUAACAGGAAGCAGCUUGCUGCUUUGCUGACGAGUGGCGGACGGGUGAGUAAUGUCUGGGAAACUGCCUGAUGGCGGGGGAUAACCACUGGAAACGGUGGCUAAUACCGCAUAACGUCGCAAGACCAAAGAGGGGGACC